GUAAUGUGAAUUGCAGAAUUCAGUGAAUCAUCGAAUCUUUGAACGCACCUUGCGCUCCUUGGCAUUCCGAGGAGCAUGCCUGUUUGAGUGUCAUUAAAUUCUCAAUCCCUACAAUCUUGUGUUGUUUGGUGAAUUGGAUUAUGGGGGUUUGCUGGCCUUGUUCAGCUCCCCUUAAAAGCAUUAGCAGGACAUUAUGCCAUCUGUGCUUUGUAUGAUAAUUAUCUAUACACUGUACUGAUUGUGCACAACUGCUUCCAACUGUCAUUUCUGACAUUUGACCAAUUUGACCUCAAAUCAGGUAGGACUACCCGCUGAACUUAAGCAUAUCAA
rnacentral:rRNA from 1 species